UGCCCGACCAGUUCUACAGUCUUGUGUGGUUCAUCAGUCCAAUUUUAGGAUUCCUUCUGCAACCAAUUCUUGGGGCAUGGAGUGACCGAUGUACGUCUCGCUUUGGCCGCAGGAGACCUUUUAUUUUUGCCCUGGCAAUAGGGGCUCUGCUGGGUCUAACACUGGUGCUGAAUGGACGGGACAUUGGAACGGCUGUGGCGGACACCACCCUGGAUCACAAGUGGGGCAUCGUGCUGACGGUGUGCGGUGUGGUUCUGAUGGACUUCAGUGCCGACUCGGCGGAC
rnacentral:lncRNA from 1 species